UACGUAGGGUGCAAGCGUUAAUCGGAAUUACUGGGCGUAAAGCGUGCGCAGGCGGCUUUGCAAGACAGAUGUGAAAUCCCCGGGCUUAACCUGGGAACUGCAUUUGUGACUGCAUGGCUGGAGUGCGGCAGAGGGGGAUGGAAUUCCGCGUGUAGCAGUGAAAUGCGUAGAUAUGCGGAGGAACACCGAUGGCGAAGGCAAUCCACUGGCGCACUCCUGACGCUGAAACACGAAAGCGUGGGUAGCGAAUGGG
rnacentral:rRNA from 1 species